rnacentral:rRNA from 1 species
AUUGAACGCUGGCGGCAGGCCUAACACAUGCAAGUCGAGCGGUAGAGAGGUGCUUGCAUCUCUUGAGAGCGGCGGACGGGUGAGUGAUGCCUAGGAAUCUGCCCUAGUGGUGGGGGAUAACGUUCGGAAACGGACGCUAAUACCGCAUACGUCCUACGGGAGAAAGCGGGGGAUCUUCGGACCUCGCGCCAUUAGAUGAGCCUAGGUCGGAUUAGCUAGUUGGUGAGGUAAUGGGCUCACCCAAGGCGACGAUCCGUAACUGGUCUGAGAGGAUGAUCAGUCACACUGGAACUGAGACACGGUCCAGACUCCUACGGGAGGCAGCAGUGGGGAAUAUUGGACAAUGGGCGAAAGCCUGAUCCAGCCAUGCCGCGUGUGUGAAGAAGGUCUUCGGAUUGUAAAGCACUUUAAGUUGGGAGGAAGGGUAGUGACCUAAUACGUUGCUACUUUGACGUUACCGACAGAAUAAGCACCGGCUAACUUCGUGCC